AAUCUGUUGUGGACAAAUGAAAUGGAUGUGUGAAUCAAAACCACCAGCCGUCACGAUCUGUCCCUCGGCUGCGAUCACUUCGGUGCCCGCGCCAAUCACCAUGUUUUCGCAGACGCCCGACUGAAUCAAGGGAUUGCCACCAUGACCGAUACCUGCGAUGCGUCCACCUUUCACGCCGAUGUCAGCUUUAAUGAUGCCCAAGAUCGGAUCGAUAAUGGUGGCAUUGGUUAAAAUCAAAUCGAGACAGUCGGCAUCGAGUGCCAGCGGCGAUUGGCCCAUGCCAUCGCG
rnacentral:sRNA from 1 species